rnacentral:rRNA from 1 species
GAAGUAAAAAGUCGUAACAAGGUUUCCGUAGGUGAACCUGCGGAAGGAUCAUUACCGAGUGAGGGCCCUUUGGGUCCAACCUCCCACCCGUGUUUAUUUUACCUUGUUGCUUCGGCGGGCCCGCCUUUACUGGCCGCCGGGGGGCUCACGCCCCCGGGCCCGCGCCCGCCGAAGACACCCCCGAACUCUGUCUGAAGAUUGAAGUCUGAGUGAAAAUAUAAAUUAUUUAAAACUUUCAACAACGGAUCUCUUGGUUCCGGCAUCGAUGAAGAACGCAGCGAAAUGCGAUACGUAAUGUGAAUUGCAAAUUCAGUGAAUCAUCGAGUCUUUGAACGCACAUUGCGCCCCCUGGUAUUCCGGGGGGCAUGCCUGUCCGAGCGUCAUUGCUGCCCUCAAGCCCGGCUUGUGUGUUGGGCCCCGUCCUCCGAUUCCGGGGGACGGGCCCGAAAGGCAGCGGCGGCACCGCGUCCGGUCCUCGAGCGUAUGGGGCUUUGUCACCCGCUCUGUAGGCCCGGCCGGCGCUUGCCGAUCAACCCAAAUUUUUAUCCAGGUUGACCUCGGAUCAGGUAGGGAUACCCGCUGAACUUAAGCAUAUCAA